CCUGUUCAAGCCCAAACUUUACCGAGCACCUUCGUCUCCAUUGCCAAACCAUUUCUCUUCCCCUCUUCCUCUCUUUAUCGCCAAAACAUUCACUGCCUUCGUCUUCACAGAAGCCUAGAUCGCUCGCGAGGCGGGCUGCUCGCGAGGCGGGCUUCUUGCAGCGGCCGUUCGCUGCUCAACCUGGAGUAGCGAUAGGGGAGGAAGAGAAGCGUAUCCCGGCCAUGGUGACCUUCCAAUCCAGCAUGGGUCCUUCCGUCGUAGUUUAUUGCAGGCUCGUAGUUGGGAGCACUGAAAUCACUCAUCGACAAGGAUAAAGGAAGGGGGAAGGACAUGGAUGACGGCCCUGACGGUGGCGGGCAACUUCGUGCUGUUGUUCUUCUUGACGCCACUCCUGGCAUUGAUUCCGGCUUGGGCGGUGGGGCCGCCGCUGGUGCUGGGGGGCGUGCUGAUGAUGAAGACGGUAGUGGAGGUGGAAUGGGAGAACAUGAGGGAAGCCAUCCCCGCCUUAGUCACCAUCAUUUUGAUGCCCCUCACCUACUUAAUUAUGUAAGACCUCAUCGGUAGCAUUGCCACCUACAUCGUCCUCCGCCUUUGCGAAUACAUCUACUCUGUUCUCGUCAAGAGCUUCCAUCUUCUCCGCAAUAGCUCUGCUUUAUUACCUUGUUCGAUCAAUGUGGAUGGUUGAGACUAAAGAUGGUUAUCUUUUGUCCAUUCAACAUGUUUAUCAUGGGAAAACUACUUUGGGAGAAAGGCAUGGCCCUUCGGUUUUCCUCCAACAUGGUCUUUUCAGGAGUUCUCAAUGAUACUGGGAAGAAUGCCAGAAAGUCAAAAAAUGGAGACUUUAGCAGAUUAAGGAGUAAUGGGAGCUAUAGUGCUGCCUCUUCAUCGACAUCUAAGUAGAAAAAUCUCAUAUUGUUGUAUUGGUCUACCUUUGUUUUAUUAGUGUCGGUACUUGCCAUUAUGUUAGUUGUUUAUAAAAUUUCUUUAGAAUGUUGUAAAUAUUAUUUUUGAAUGUUAAAAAAUUAUAUAUUAAAUUUUAUUAUCAAAUUUGUAUUUUAAA